UACGUAGGGUGCAAGCGUUAAUCGGAAUUACUGGGCGUAAAGCGUGCGCAGGCGGUUGUGCAAGACAGAUGUGAAAUCCCCGGGCUUAACCUGGAAUUGCAUUUGUGACUGCACAGCUAGAGUGUGUCAGAGGGGGUAGAAUUCCACGUGUAGCAGUGAAUGCGUAGAUAUGUGGAGGAAUGACCGAGUGGCGAAGGCAGCCCC
rnacentral:rRNA from 1 species